AGCUGUAGCCAAAUCUGUCAUUAAUGCGAUGCAGGAGUUAUUCUGCUCCAAAGGAUUACCAAAGCCAGAGUAUCUCACACCUGAGCUGAUGAGAACAGGGGCCACAAGCCAUGUGGAGCUCCCCUACCCUGAAAAUACAGCCAAUUUGAAAUGCAAUAUGCUGUGAAUGUGAACACACCACAUUCCAAAGACUUCAUACAAGAAGAAGAAUGGUAGACAUCUCAUUUGUAAUUUUAAACUAUUGCUACAUGCUGCCAUAAUAUUUUAGUUACAGUAUGGGGCUAAAUAAAAAUACAUAAUUAAAAUUUA